GUGUUUGAAAUUCUUGGCACUUAUGCAUUUGAAAUUAGAUUUUAUAAAACAAUAAACUCUUUGGGUAGAGACAACAGUUUGUGGGUAUCUGAGCCGGAAACCCUCACGAGACAAAACUCGUCCACUAGGGCCACCUAGGGGUUUAAAGCCUUAUUGCAUACGGUAAAUGCAAUCGCGAUUCCUGCGAAAGUGAGUUAGUUUUUUUUAUUUUA
rnacentral:lncRNA from 1 species